AAUUGCGUACUGAGCACAAAGAAUUUGCCCCACCUGACCCCAUGCCGAACUCAGAAGUGAAACGCCGUAGCGCCGAUGGUAGUGUGGGGUCUCCCCAUGUGAGAGUAGGGAACUGCCAGGC
rnacentral:rRNA from 1 species